UACGUAGGUCCCGAACGUUGCGCGAAUUUACUGGGCGUAAAGGGUCCGUAGGCGGUUUAGCAAGUGGUUGGUGAAAUUUCACGGCUCAACCGUGAAACUGCCUUCCAAACUGCUAAACUUGAGGCAGGGAGAGGUCGGCGGAAUUCCCGGUGGAGCGGUGAAAUGCGUAGAUAUCGGGGGGAACGCCAGUGGCGAAGGCGGCCGACUGGAACUGUCCUGACGGUGAGGGACGAAAGCUAGGGGAGCAAACCGG
rnacentral:rRNA from 1 species